UGUAGGGGCUGGGGAAGAAAGGGAAAUUUAACAAGUAUUGGCAUGAUCUAUUUAUUUCAAUCCCCUUCAAUGUCAUUCCAGAGAGGAAAUCAUUACAUUUCUCUUUAAGUCAGUUUUGGCUAUUGAAUCAUGUCUCUUGAAUGCUGUACCUCUGAGACUGGGUCAUGUGGGCCUCUACUUUAAUAAGGGUUAUACUGUACUUGAAAAUCACCGCAAGUGCCUUCACUACAUUACCUCGUUCACUCCCCCAGCGCCCUUCUGAGGUAGGAAAAUCACAUUCUAUCCCCACUUAGUGAAAACAAAAACAAAAACCAAACAGGGCACAGGGUACUAAAACCAAAUCAUAACAGAAGCCAAAGGUCAUCCCCAAAUUAUGGUUCUUAAUCAGGAUGCUCAUCGGAGUCACCUGAGGAGAGUUUUCAAAAUACAGUCAUGUGCUGCAUUACAAUGUUUCAGUCAAUGAGGGACCACACGUAUGACGAGGGUCCCAGAAGACAAUAAGGGAGCUGGGAAAUUCCUGUUGCCUGGUGACAUUGUAGCUACUGUACACAACACAACGCAUUAUGUGUUUGUGGUGAUGCUGGUGUAAACAAACCUACUGUGCUGCCAGUGGUAUAAAAAUCUAGCACACACAUUUCCAUAGAGUACAUAAUACCGGAUAAUGAUAACGGCUAUGUUACUGGUUUAUGUAAAUAUUUACUAUACUGUACUUUUUAUUGUUAUUUUAGGGUGUAUUCUUUCUACUUAUUUAAAAAAAAUGUUAACAGUAAAACAACCUCAGGCAGGCCCUUCAGGAGGAAUUCCAGAAGAAGGCAUUGUUAUUACAGGAGAUGACACCUCCAUGUGUAUUACUAUCUCUCAAGACCUUCCAGUGGGACAAGAUGUGGAGGUGAAGACAGCGAAACUGAUGAUGCUGACCCUGUGUAGGCCUAGACUAGCAUGGGUGUUUGCAUCUUAGUUUUUAGCACACACAAAAAUAAAAAAGUAAAAAAUAAAUUUUUUUAAAUAGAAAAAACUUAUAGAAUAAGGAUAUAAAGAAAAUAUUUGUGUAUAGAUAUACAAUGUACAUUUUAAGCUAAUUGUUACAACAAGAGUCAAAAACUUUGUAGGCUAGGCGCGGUGGCUCAUGCCUGUAAUCCCAGCACUUUGGGAGGCUGAGGCAGGCGGAUCACGAGGUCAAGAGAUCGAGACCAUCCUGGCCAACAUGGUGAAAACCCCGUCUCUACUAAAAUUACAAAAAAAAUUUAGCUGGGCAUGGUGGCACAUGCCUGUGGUCCCAGCUACUCGGGAGGCUGAGGAGAAUCGCUUGAACCCAGAGUUGGAGGUUGCAGUGAGCCGAGAUCGCGCCACUGCACUCUAGCCUAGCAACAGAGUGAGACUCUGUAUCAAAAAAAAAAAAAAAAAAAAGUCUGUAAAGUAGAAAUGUUAAUUUAUUAUUGAAGAAAGAAAAUGUUUCUAAAAAUAAAUAUAGUGUAGCCUAAGUGUACAGUGUUUCUAAAGAAGUCUACAGCAGUGUACAGUGAUGUCCUAGGCCUUCACACUCACUCACCACUCACUCACUGGCCCACCCAAAGCAACUUCCAGUUCUGCAAGCUCCAUUCAUGGUAAGUGCCCUGUACAAGUAUACCACUGUUUAUCUUUCAUACUGUAUUUUUACUGUACCAUUUCUAUGUUUAGAUACACAAAUACAUGGUGUUACAAUUGCCUACAGCCUUCAGUACAGUCACAUGCUAGGUCUGUGGCCUAGAAGCAAUAGGUCAUCAUACCAUAUAGUCCAGGUGUGUGGUAGGCCCUACCAUGCAGGUUUGUGUAUAUACAUUCUAUGGUGUUCACACACAAUGACAAAAUCACCUAACAAUGCAUUACUGAGGAUGUGUCCCUGUCAUUAGCAAGGCAUGACUGUCCCCGAGGGUUUGACACAGCAGGCACAGGCAGGCAGGUGGGCAUGCCGAUUUUGAAAGAGCUCCUCUUGCCUUCACAUGACAACCCACACCACACCAUAAAAGAAAUAUCUUCCACUUUGCAGGUCUCUGCAAUUUUGAAAGUUUUCGAGUCUAGAACACCAACUUCUCCAUGGCCUGUAGAGGGUGAUAGGGUGACAGCUUUCUGCUCCUACCCUGGCUCUGGCCACCUAACUCUCCAGAAGCUGGGAAGAGGCCAGUACACAGGGUGAAGCACAGCUAGUCUGCUGCAGAAAAAUGCAAAAAACACCCACAGCUUUCUAGGGCAAGUGUUAGCCUGGGUACUUCUCACCUCCUUCCUAGGGUGAGGCUGAGCCAGGAAGGCCUUAGGGCUGAAGGACUCCUGGAGGAGGAGCAGACAGGGCCCUAUCUCCCACCCCUCAGAGCAUCACGUCCCAAGGUCCUCCCACCUCUCAUUCCUCCUGUCCCUCCCAGCCUGCUCACAUCUAGGUAUGUUUGGUGGGCUCCCAUGCAGGGGUCCCAGUAUCAACUAGGGGGCAUGGUGGGUGCUCCCAUUACCCUACGAUGGACACCCACACAGGACAGCUGUUUACAUUGUGGAUUCAGCAUAUUGAACUGCAGAACAGAAUAUUGAACUGGCAAACAAAUGAGGUGUCCUGUCUCGGCUCAGAGACAAGGCCCAGGAAAGUGCUUCAGAGGCUGCUCUGCCCAGUGGGCAGGGGCAUCAUCAACCCUCCCUCGGAGAUGUUCACGCAAACUCUAGGAGUUAAGUGACUCAGCCAAUACCACCCAUGAGACACGACCCCUAGCCUCCAACUCGAAGUUCAGUGCUUGCUGCAGACGAUGAGAAGACUGAGGCCAGCUAUCUCCUGAGCUACGGUGGACCUGAAUUCCCCUCUCCCGACCCCUGCCAACCCCGGCCUAGGACUGCCCCAGGUAAAAUGAUCCCACACAGCACAGGAGAAGUGCCGGCUCACCAAGGGACAGCAUGGCCCUGGGUGCUUCUCUUCUGGUAUGUAAGAGACUGAACGUGCCAGAACCAUGGAGCCCACAGCCAACACCCCUCAGGCAGGUUGCUUACCCCGGCUGAUCCUCUGCUUCUCCCCAGAGAGGAUCCCUGGUGUGUCGAUGACGCUGAUGCUCUCCAGCACAGGGUUAGGUAGCUGGGCACACACGAACCUGCAUGGGCAGAGGUAACCUGGGUAGAAACAAUAUCCGUGAAUAGAAAAGAACCUUCGUCUGCCUCCUUCCAGUUGGAUGCAAAUCCCAGCCACUGAAUAUUUAGGCAAAUACUGGGAACUAUAUGGAGCAUCCUCCUCCACUUUUACUAGGGGUAGGUGCAGGGUAGGGGAAUGUGACCUGAGUCAUUGUUGUAUCCUUCCCUGCUCCCUGAUAAGGAGGAAUCAACCCAGCAUUUGCAGCUGCUGCAUCUCACAACUGACUCAGUUACACUCUCAGCAAGCAAGGGACAAUCUAGGUAUGGAAAGAUUGACAGGAGACUCUAGGCACCAAGCAUCCCAAGACCCUGCCUACUGUUCUUUCACUCCCCAUACCCCAAGAAGAAAAGAGAGCACCUGAAAGUGUUGUGUUCCCUCCACACUCACC